UACGUAGGGGGCAAGCGUUUGUCCGGAAUCAUUGGGCGUAAAGAGCGCGUAGGCGGUCCGGUAAGUCGGUUGUGAAAAACUGGGGGGCUCAACCCUCAGAGGCCGACCGAUACUGUCGGGCUAGAGUCCGGAAGAGGCGAGUGGAAUUCCUGGUGUAGCGGUGAAAUGCGCAGAUAUCAGGAGGAACACCAAUGGCGAAGGCAGCUCGCUGGGACGGUACUGACGCUGAGGCGCGAAAGCGUGGGGAGCAAACAGG
rnacentral:rRNA from 1 species